UUUCGCAAUGCCCGAAAGGGUGACGAAGCGACGCCGCGUGUGGGAAGAAGGCCUUCGGGUUGUAAACCACUGUCGGGAGUUAGGAAAUGUAAGGGUGCUAAUAGUAUCCUUACUUGACUAAGGCUCCGGAGGAAGCCACGGCUAACUCUGUGCCAGCAGCCGCGGUAAUACAGAGGCGGCAAGCGUUGUUCGGAAUUAUUGGGCGUAAAGAGCACGUAGGCGGCCUUGUAAGUCAGUUGUGAAAGCCUUCUGCUUAAUGGAAGAACAGCAGCUGAUACUGCAAGGCUAGAGUGCGGAAGGGGAGAGUGGAACUUCUGGUGGAGCGGUGAAAUGCGUAGAUAUCAGAAGGAACACCGGCGGCGAAGGCGACUCUCUGGUCCGUAACUGACGCUGAGUGUGCGAAAGCUAGGGGAGCAAACGGGAUUAGAUACCCCGGUAGUCCUAGCCGUAAACGAUGGGCACUAAGUAGAGGGGUUUUA
rnacentral:rRNA from 1 species